AGCCAAAUAGGAAAUGUAACAUUAUUCUAUGAGCCCAACUGAGAAAAUGAAUGGAAGUUCAACUAAGUAAGAUGUCAGCCCAACUUAAGGACUUAGGCAUCUGGCAUUUCCACAAGUCAAGAAACAGCAGAAGAUACUGGACGCGGUGGCUCACGCCUGUAAUCUCAGCACUUUGGGAAGCCAAGGUGGGC